rnacentral:lncRNA from 1 species
CACUGGACAAGUUUGGACACAAUUCUGCCACUGGAUCAUCAUACAGUCCAAAGGGAAAUCUCUCCGAGCUCACACAUUCAAGAUGACAAUUACAGAACUGCUGUAUAGUUUAUGGUUAGAAAGGAAUGCGAGAAUCUUUAAAAACACCUAUUGUAAUUGUGAUAAACUCCUAAGUAGUAUAGCCUAUAUUUGUAAUGUUCGAGCUCCUCCUAGGCUUAGUUCGUAUAUUCAGCAUUUCAUGUUAU